rnacentral:rRNA from 1 species
GGGUGAAGUAACCGCCGUGGGAAAUCUACCGUGCKCUGCGGAAUAGCCUCCGGGAAACUGGAAUUAAUACCCGCAUACGCCCCUACGGGGGAAAGAUUUAUCGGGGUAUGAUGAGCCCCGCGUUGGAUUAGCUAGUUGGUGGGGUAAAGGCCUACCAAGGCGACGAUCCAUAGCUGGUCUGAGAGGAUGAUCAGCCACAUUGGGACUGAGACACGGCCCAAACUCCUACGGGAGGCAGCAGUGGGGAAUAUUGGACAAUGGGCGCAAGCCUGAUCCAGCCAUGCCGCGUGAGUGAUGAAGGCCUUAGGGUUGUAGAGCUCUUUCACCGGAGAAGAUAAUGACGGUAUCCGGAGAAGAAGCCCCGGCUAACUUCGUGC